rnacentral:tRNA from 1 species
GCCCCUGUAGUUCAAUGGAUAGAACGGCUCCCUUCUAAGGAGUAGAUCCAAGUUCGAUUCUUGGUGGGGGCACCG